UAGGUAUGCUUAGGGAAGAGCUUGCGUCACAUUAGUUAGUUGGUGGGGUAAUGGCCUACCAAGACGAUGAUGUGUAGCCGGGCUGAGAGGUCGAACGGCCACAUUGGGACUGAGACACGGCCCAAACUCCUACGGGAGGCAGCAGUAAGGAAUUUUCGGCAAUGGAGGAAACUCUGACCGAGCAAUGCCGCGUGAACGAUGAAGUAUUUCGGUACGUAAAGUUCUUUUAUUAGGGAAGAAAAGAUGGUGGAAAAACCAUUAUGACGGUACCUAAUGAAUAAGCCCCGGCUAACUAUGUGCCAGCAGCCGCGGUAAUACAUAAGGGGCAAGCGUUAUCCGGAAUUAUUGGGCGUAAAGGGUGCGUAGGCGGUUAAAUAAGUUUAUGGUCUAAGUGCAACGCUCAACGUUGUGAUGCUAUAAAAACUGUUUAGCUAGAGUUGGAUAGAGGCAAGUGGAAUUCCGUGUGUAGUGGUAAAAUGCGUAAAUAUACGGAGGAACACCAGAAGCGAAGGCGGCUUGCUGGGUCUUAACUGACGCUGAGGCACGAAAGCGUGGGGAGCAAACAGGAUUAGAUACCCUGGUAGUCCACGCCCUAAACGAUGAGUACUAAACGUUGGAUAAAACCAGUGUUGAAGUUAACACAUUAAGUACUCCGCCUGAGUAGUACGUACGCAAGUAUGAAACUUAAAGGAAUUGACGGGACUCCGCACAAGCGGUGGAUCAUGUUGUUUAAUUCGAAGGUACCCGAAAAACCUCACCAGGUCUUGACAUGCUUUUGCAAAGCUGUAGAAAUACAGUGGAGGUUAUCAGAAGCACAGGUGGUGCAUGGUUGUCGUCAGCUCGUGUCGUGAGAUGUUGGGUUAAGUCCCGCAACGAGCGCAACCCUUGUUGUUAAUUGCCAUCAUUAAGUUGGGGACUUUAGCAAGACUGCCAAUGAUAAAUUGGAGGAAGGUGGGGACGACGUCAAAUCAUCAUGCCCCUUAUGACCUGGGCUACAAACGUGAUACAAUGGCUGUUACAAAGGGUAGCUAAAGCGUAAGCUUCUGGCGAAUCUCAAAAAAGCAGUCUCAGUUCGGAUUGAAGUCUGCAACUCGACUUCAUGAAGUUGGAAUCGCUAGUAAUCGC
rnacentral:rRNA from 1 species